GGCUAACAGAGUGUUUCUUUAGGU
rnacentral:siRNA from 1 species